CUAGAUAUUUCCUGAAAACAGAAAGAAAACAUGUUCAACUUCACUUACCUCUUCGUUGUGGUCCUCGUGGCUAUUUUCGCAAUCUCCAGCGUAAUGGCGGCAACACCAGUCGCAUGUAUGAUUUCCUGUGAUAGCGCCAAUCCAAACUACGCUCGUGAAUGCGCCUUCUGUCUCUUGGCACAUCGUGACGAAGCUAAAUAAAUUAUAAGAACACCUCGAAUGUUUCAAGAUACAAUUUCCUGCAAAGUUUUAAGGUAAUUCUUCACAGUUCUUCGAUUAAAUAUACGCAUCUGCCGAUUUACAUUAUGUAAAUUUGUUAAAUAUUUCUUGAUUGUUAAUAAAUUAAUUAUUAGCUCCAGAAA